rnacentral:rRNA from 1 species
UACAGAGGUCCCGAGCGUUGUUCGGAUUCACUGGGCGUAAAGGGUGCGCAGGUGGGUUGGCAAGUUUGAUGUGAAAGCCCCGGGCUUAACCCGGGAAUGGCAUUGAAUACUGCUGAUCUGGAGGAUCGGAGGGGGGACUGGAAUUCUUGGUGUAGCAGUGAAAUGCGUAGAUAUCAAGAGGAACACCAGUGGCGAAGGCGGGUCUCUGGACAGUUCCUGACACUGAGGCACGAAGGCCAGGGGAGCAAACGGG